CAUAAGAUGUAGAGAGGAGUUAUAUCAUAAGCACACUUAACUUACAUUAAUUCAAUAUAUGAGGUCAGUGAAAAGGAAA